ensembl:lncRNA novel transcript
CUUGGGAGCCAGGCCUGCACCCCAUAGAGUCAGCUCUGGUUUAGAGCCAGCCCUUCCACCCUUGCCACCUUCAGCCGCUAGCCCAAAUCUCAACGCUCUUCUCGCCCAUUCCCAAACAUCUCUGCGCUUCUCCCUUCCCCAUCCGAUCAUUUCUGUUUCCAUUAUUUUUCUUUCUUCGCAGUUCCUUCCACGGUGUCUUUGGAAAUGCUGAUUCCUCUCUUGGCUUUGUGCUGUUUUUAUUCGCCAAACCUAUUCCGUUGUAAACCGACUUCUCUGAAUCUCCAACCUCACCACAGGACCAGCCCUCCUUCCCUCUUCCUUGGCUGAGGGUGCACCGCUCCUGCCUCAGCAUCUCCUUGGGCUCUGCUCUAAAUGUAUUACAACUGGCUGUGGCUUAUGCCUGCAAUCUCAGCACUUUGGGAGGCUGAGGUGGAAGAAUCACUUGAGCUCAGGAGUUCAAGACCAGCGUGGGCAACAAAGCAAGACCCUGUCUCUACAAAAUUAAAUUAAAUUAAAAAGUAUUACAUUU